GUUAAAUAUUGCGUGUAGCAUAUUCGCUGGAGUGGAAUUUUCAGACUAUGUCUAAAAAUAGCUGAAAACAGUACGAAAAUGUUCUAUUUUCGCAUUUCUGUCAAAAAAGGAUUUUAACUGUAGAAGAUUCAUACCAUUUGAUGCCAAGUGUACAAUAAAAACUUAUAUGAAAAUUGACAACAGAAGUGUCAUGGUCUUGGUGGAAAAUGCUGUGCUCUUCAUUGACCUCUGUUUAAUAAUGACUGGUGAUAGAAAACUAUCAGGAAUGCUUCAAGCUGGCAAUGGAGGGAAAUGUAAACGUAGGUAGGAAAUGAUAAAAUGCAAUAGGAUAUAAACCAAUUUUAUGAAUAAUACAAUUAGAUGAAUUUUAUAUUGAUACAAUGUUGGGCAUCUUACUUUGAGCAGUUAACUGGUAUAACAUAAUUGUUAUUUAACUUAUAUGAAUAUUAAACAAGAAAUAAAAUGUGACCAGAAUGGUGUUUUUCAUGUUUUCUUAAAUCCCCUACUUAUUUUUUUUAAAAAGACAAUAAUUUUCGUAAAUAUGCAAACUAUUUGAGUUGAAAACUAGGAAUGUAAAUUAUGUGUUACUUGUAGUUUAACGAUUAAAAGGCGUUUUCAUAAAUGUAUUAUAUUGUGCUGUAUUAAACAAUAUUUUAUAACUUUUUAUGUUUUUCGGGACACUGAGAAAUCACAAGGUUUCAAACAUCUAGAAUAUGCUCACGGUCAGUCUUCAAGAUACUCACCUUAAAGGUUCCAGUGUGUUUUAGGAGACUUUGUCAGAACAGUACUUUAUACCUACAUACACUGGAGAUACCAGACCCAGCAGAUAACUACAGAUAUAUUGACACAGAACAUGAAAUUAAUUGUAUAUCCCAUCACAACAUUAGUCUUUAAACUGUUAAAUAGGCAGUGAGGCAUUUGUGUGUAACCCUCAUUAUUUGAAAUAAA